UACGAGAGGCCCAAACGUUAUUCGGAAUUACUGGGCUUAAAGAGUUCGUAGGCGGCGCAGAAAGUAGGGUGUGAAAGCCCUCGGCUUAACCGAGGAAUUGCGCCCUAAACUACUGUGCUUGAGGAACCUAGAGGUGAGCAGAACUGAUGGUGGAGCGGUGAAAUGCGUAGAUAUCGUAAGGAAGACCAGUGGCGAAGGCGGGUCUCUGGACAGUUCCUGACGCUGAGGCACGAAGGCCAGGGGAGCAAACGGG
rnacentral:rRNA from 1 species